rnacentral:tRNA from 1 species
GGGCUCGUAGCUCAAUGGUUAGAGCAGCGGACUCAUAAUCCGUUGGCUGCUGGUUCAAGUCCGGCCGGGCCCA